GCGGGUGUCGUAUAAUGGUUAUUAUAUCGGCUUGCCAAGUCGAAAAUGGCGGUUCGAUUCCGCUCACCCGCU
rnacentral:tRNA from 1 species